AUUUAUAUAGUUUAUAUAAAACAUUAUAUUUUCAAUAUAAAAAUAAGAAUUUUCUUUAUAAAUU
rnacentral:tRNA from 1 species